AUCGCUUCUCGGCCUUUUGGCUAAGAUCAAGUGUAAAAUCUAUGUUUUAUCAGGAGCCUGACCAAUAUGACUUUAAGUGAAGUCAGACAGGUAUAUUGGUAAAUAAGAGAUGGAAUAGAAAGAAAGAAAUUUAUUUUAUAAUUAUUUUAAUUCACCUCAUAUUACCUAUGUAGGAGUGUCCUAUU